rnacentral:rRNA from 1 species
GCAGUCGAGCGAGCUUGCCUAGAUGAUUUUAGUGCUUGCACUAAAUGAAACUAGAUACAAGCGAGCGGCGGACGGGUGAGUAACACGUGGGUAACCUGCCCAAGAGACUGGGAUAACACCUGGAAACAGAUGCUAAUACCGGAUAACAACACUAGACGCAUGUCUAGAGUUUGAAAGAUGGUUCUGCUAUCACUCUUGGAUGGACCUGCGGUGCAUUAGCUAGUUGGUAAGGUAACGGCUUACCAAGGCAAUGAUGCAUAGCCGAGUUGAGAGACUGAUCGGCCACAUUGGGACUGAGACACGGCCCAAACUCCUACGGGAGGCAGCAGUAGGGAAUCUUCCACAAUGGACGAAAGUCUGAUGGAGCAACGCCGCGUGAGUGAAGAAGGGUUUCGGCUCGUAAAGCUCUGUUGGUAGUGAAGAAAGAUAGAGGUAGUAACUGGCCUUUAUUUGACGGUAAUUACUUAGAAAGUCACGGCUAACUACGUGCCAGCAGCCGCGGUAAUACGUAGGUGGCAAGCGUUGUCCGGAUUUAUUGGGCGUAAAGCGAGUGCAGGCGGUUCAAUAAGUCUGAUGUGAAAGCCUUCGGCUCAACCGGAGAAUUGCAUCAGAAACUGUUGAACUUGAGUGCAGAAGAGGAGAGUGGAACUCCAUGUGUAGCGGUGGAAUGCGUAGAUAUAUGGAAGAACACCAGUGGCGAAGGCGGCUCUCUGGUCUGCAACUGACGCUGAGGCUCGAAAGCAUGGGUAGCGAACAGGAUUA